rnacentral:tRNA from 1 species
CUCCGCUUGGUGUAGUUGGUUUAUCACGUUCGGCUGUAAUUGUCUGAUGCUACCGAAAGGUCCCUAGUUCGAUUCUGGGAGCGGAGA